AUUGAACGCUGGCGGCAUGCCUUACACAUGCAAGUCGAACGGCAGCACGGGGGGCAACCCUGGUGGCGAGUGGCGAACGGGUGAGUAAUAUAUCGGAACGUGCCCUGGAGGUGGGGGAUAACUAGUACGAAAGAUUAGCUAAUACCGCAUACGAUCUACGGAUAGAAAGGUGGGGGACCGCAAGGCCUCAUGCUCGUGGAGCGGCCGAUAUCUG
rnacentral:rRNA from 1 species